rnacentral:rRNA from 1 species
CCUACGGGAGGCAGCAGUGAGGAAUAUUGGUCAAUGGACGAGAGUCUGAACCAGCCAAGUAGCGUGAAGGAUGACUGCCCUAUGGGUGGUAAACUUCUUUUAUAAGGGAAUAAAAUGUGCCACGUGUGGGCUUUUGUAUGUACCAUAUGGAUAAGGAUCGGCUAACUCCGUGCCAGCAGCCGCGGUAAGACGGUGGAUCCGAGCGUUCUCCGGUUUUAUUGGGUUUAAAGGGAGCGGAGGGGGUUUGUUAAGUCAGUUGUGAAAGUUUGCGGCUCAACCGUAAAAUUGCCGUUGAAACUGGCAGUCUUGAGUUCAGUAGAGGUAGGCGGAAUUCGUGGUGUAGCGGUGAAAUGCUUAGAUAUCACGAAGAACUCCGAUUGCGAAGGCAGCUCACUGGACUGCAACUGACACUGAGGCUCGAAAGUGUGGGUAUCAAACAGGAUUAGAUACCCGAGUAGUC